AGACCACGGCGAACGGCUGAGUAACACAUGGGUACCUGCCUUGAACUCAGGGAUAUCCCGCCGAAAGGCGGAGUAAUACCGGAUGCCCUCGCAAGAGGAAAGAUUUAUCGGUUCAAGAGGGGCCUGUGGCCUAUCAGUUAGUUGGUGAGGUAACGGCUCACCAAGACGAUGACGGGUAACUGGUCUGAGAGGACGGCCAGUCAGAAUGGAACUGAGACACGGCCCAG
rnacentral:rRNA from 1 species